UACAGUUAAGUCGCAACUUCUAUGGACGGGUUUUAUGACAAUAUUGUCACUUUGGAAGUAAAUAAUUAAAUAAAGGGAUCUCUUGUGAAUUAAUAGAUAUACAUUACGAGUAUUCGUAAGAGCCGAUUUUUAUUCGGCUCGAUAAUGUGGCUGCAGAUGAAAUUGUUGUUAUUAAUAUUCAUUUUGAAUUUAUUUGUGGGUUUUGGUUACUUAAGAUUUCCAAGAGAAAACCGAAUGGAUAUUAAAGAAUAUGUGAGCAAUCUCGGAACUUCAGAGUUACUUCCUCUUCAUAGAAAACCAUAUUUGGAACAUAGCUCAAGAAAAAGUAGCUCGGGAAGGAGACGUCGGAAAAGAAAAUGUAAAAAUAAGUCAAAAAAAGUGUGUCUGCAAUAUUCAGAACACGAUAAAAAUGGUCACACCAAGUAUUCAUCGGUAUUGUGUAAUCUCCGAGAUGUAGCAAAGCUGUUCAAAGAAAGAUUUGAUAAUGUAGAAGUUGAAUUUGACUGACCUCAUUA